AAGCCCUGCAAGGGGCAAGUACAGUGGCGCACGGGUGAGUAACACGUGGAUAACCUGCCUUGGAGUGGGGGAUAACCUUCCGAAAGGAGGGCUAAUACCGCAUAACAUCCUGGAUGAAACUUCUGGGGUUGAAAGGAGCAAUUUGCUUCAAGAGGGGUCCGCGGCUGAUUAGCUAGUUGGUGAGGUAACGGCUUACCAAGGCGACGAUCAGUAGCCGUCCUAAGAGGGAGCACGGCCACACUGGAACUGAGACACGGUCCAGACUCCUACGGGAGGCAGCAGUGGGGAAUUUUUGGCAAUGGGCGAAAGCCUGACCAAGCAACGCCGCGUGGGUGAUGAAGUACCUUGGUACGUAAAACCCUUUCGGCAGGGACGAACUCCAUGACGGUACCUGCUGAAGAAGCCCCGGCUAACUUCGUACCAGCAGCCGCGGUAAUACGAGGGGGGCAAGCGUUGUUCGGAAUUACUGGGCGUAAAGGGCGCGUAGGCGGUUGGACAAGUCAGCUGUGAAAACCUCGGGCUUAACUCGAGGCCUGCAGUUGAAACUGUCGAGCUAGAGUGUGGGAGAGGGAAGUGGAAUUCCUGGUGUAGCGGUGAAAUGCGUAGAGAUCAGGAGGAACACCGGUGGCGAAGGCGGCUUCCUGGACCACAACUGACGCUGAGGCGCGAAAGCUA
rnacentral:rRNA from 1 species